rnacentral:rRNA from 1 species
AGAACGAACGCUGGCGGCAUGCCUAAUACAUGCAAGUCGAACGAACUCUUCGGAGUUAGUGGCGCACGGGUGCGUAACGCGUGGGAAUCUGCCCCUUGGUUCGGAAUAACAGUUGGAAACGAUUGCUAAUACCGGAUGAUGACGAAAGUCCAAAGAUUUAUCGCCAAGGGAUGAGCCCGCGUAGGAUUAGCUAGUUGGUGAGGUAAAGGCUCACCAAGGCAACGAUCCUUAGCUGGUCUGAGAGGAUGAUCAGCCACGCUGGGACUGAGACACGGCCCAGACUCCUACGGGAGCAGCAGUAGGGAAUAUUGGACAAGUGGGACGAAAGGCCUAGAUCCAGCAAUGCCGCGUGAGUGAUGGAGGUCCGUUAGGUUGUAAAGCUUACGUUUACCGAGAUGAUAAUGACUAGUA